rnacentral:rRNA from 1 species
GUGGAUUAGAUACCCUGGUAGUCCACGCCCUAAACUAUGUCAACUGGUUGUCGGGGAAGCAAUUCCUUGGUAACGAAGCUAACGCGUGAAGUUGACCGCCUGGGGAGUACGGCCGCAAGGUUAAAACUCAAAGGAAUUGACGGGGACCCGCACAAGCGGUGGAUUAUGUGGAUUAAUUCGAUGCAACGCGAAAAACCUUACCUACCCUUGACAUGUACGGAAUUCCGCAGAGAUGUGGAAGUGCCCGAAAGGGAGCCGUAACACAGGUGCUGCAUGGUUGUCGCCAGCU